rnacentral:sRNA from 1 species
UCUUGUAAAAACAACUAUGAGAAUUAUAUUGACAUAGUGAAAUAUGUGUUCAGCGCUUACAAGAGAGAGUCCCCUCUCAUCGUCAACACUAUGGGAUGGGUUUCAGACCAGGGGCUCCUGCUUCUCAUUGAUCUGAUCCGAUUGCUGUCUCCCAGCCACGUGGUUCAGUUCCGCUCUGACCACAGUAAAUAUAUGCCAGACCUUACCCCGCAGUAUGUAGAUGACAUGGAUGGCUUGUACACAAAAAGCAAGACCAAGAUGAGAAAUCGACGUUUCAGACUCGCAGCAUUUGCAGAUGCUUUGGAAUUUGCUGAUGAAGAAAAAGAGAGUCCAGUUGAGUUCACUGGACAUAAACUGAUAGGUGUUUAUACAGACUUUGCAUUCAGAAUAACUCCAAGAAAUAGGUAACUAACCCUCAUUUGGCUGAAGAAUUAUUUUUCCUUCCGUCGAAAAAGACCUGGCAUUCUCAAUUCCUCUAAAGGCCUGAGUCCUCUAAUAUCUUCAGGUCUCUAUCACAGCUGUGCACUUACAAAGACGAACCAGUUGUUUUCUGAACUGUUAUGUUCCCAGUGGAAAUAUCCAGAAGUGUCCCCUACCUCUGGCUGCCAGCAACUUUGACUUAAAGGAGUCUUUACA